UCUACUCCCUUCUCUCUCACAACUCACAUCUCACAAACUUUAUCAGACUCUUUCUCUCUCUUUCUCCCAGAUCUAGAUCGGAAGUGUUUGAACCACCGGUGGAGGAGACUAGGGUUUCGUCUUCCGUGAUGAAAGAUGUCUGGAGUGCUGAUGGUUUGAGAUGAAAUCAGAUGAUGAACAACCUGUGAUGAAGAACAAACAUCAAUGAAAUCGAAAACACACAGGGUUGAACACGGAUUUGAAGAAACCCUAACUGAAGGUUUUGUCCGGUCAUCUCUGUUGUGGUUUCUUUCGGCUUUCUUCCACAUCAACGAUUAGCAAACACAAAGGGUUUUUUUUUGCUGUGACAUAUUAGACAGGUAUUGGGAUCCUCAAUCGAUAAGAUUAACAAUUCGUGCGUUGCUGUGACAUAUUAACAAUUUCAUUAGGGUUUUACACGAUGGGUUGAUUGACCUAAUGUGUUAUUUGUUUAAUUACACCAAUUUCAGGUUUAAUGGUGGCAUGUUUGUGCUGGUUCAACAAAGCUAGAAAGCGGAGGUGACGGCUAGGGUUUCGAUUAGUGAUCUCGGUCUGAUGUUCUUCACGAUAGAGAUGCACUCGAGAUGGUAAAGAUGGAAUUCCAGCAUUGCUUGGGGUUACAGGGAUCCGCGUUUGAGUUUAGUUCUGGCUGGAAUCCGAGUCGAUCGUUUCACAACUACUAUGGCGUCUUCUAGGGUUUCAUCAAAAGUCCAAAUCAAGAAAAUCCGUUGGGUCCAUCACUAAAGGAAAGAACAGUUGUUGUUGCUGCAGUUUCCUUGUUAGGAACAUUACCAGCUCUAGCAUCAUUCAGCGAUUCCACAAACACCACUAACAAAUGGGUUACCAGAGCACUUGCGCUUCCUACUGCAGGAACUGCCUCUAAGAAAGAGAUUCGAUUGAAACAGAAUCUGCGGUAAAUACUCUGAAGCAUAUAUUUGACAAGCAUGUAAGCUUAAUUAGAGAAAGAUGUUUUUCAAAUGCUUGUGAAGCUGGAGAAUUUGCUAAAGUGGCAACCAAGCCAUUGAGGUUACACGUGUCAAACGUUUAUGGCAUUAGAGAAACCAGAAGGGGUCCCAAUUCAGGUGUUGGCAGAUUUUUUUUAACAUGUUGGUUUUUUAUGUGAAAGAGGUAAUAACUUCUCAUCUCAUAUUUUUUAAAGUAUAGUUUGAACCAUUUACUUUUGGAUCCAUCGAUUCUGGUUACAUUUUCCAAACAGGUCUCAAGUGUAUUUUUAUUAGUAUGCGAAUCAUGUAAAUCGUUUUUACAGAGGUUAGGGUAUUAUUGAGAUGCUAUAUGUGUGUUUUAAUCAUUCUGACUCUUAUUUAUAUAACAAUAGAGGUCCUGGACAAAGUAUUUCAUGUCAACCCAUCCUGAUCUGUAAUGGGUCAAAAUGGACCCAAAUGGGUUGGGCCAACUUACACUCUUUUUUUUAUUAAUUUUUUUCAUUUUAUAAAGUUAUAAAUAUGCAAAGUAUGACUCAAUAGGUCUUUAAAAAUUUGAGUUCAGUUUGUAUGGGUUUUAAUUUGUUCGGCCCUUUUGAUCCAUUUUCUUUUUAGUUAAACCAUUUGACCUGAAAAAUGUAAGACAUUGAAACUGAUAUAUGUGUAAGUUGAUGGU